UACAGAGGGUGCAAGCGUUAAUCGGAAUUACUGGGCGUAAAGCGUGCGUAGACGGUUAUGUAAGUCGGGUGUGAAAGCCCCGGGCUCAACCUGGGAAUUGCAUUCGAGACUGUGUAGCUAGGGUACGGAAGAGGGAAGCGGAAUUUCAGGUGUAGCGGUGAAAUGCGUAGAUAUCUGAAGGAACACCAGUGGCGAAAGCGGCUUCCUGGUCCAGUACCGACGUUCAGGCACGAAAGCGUGGGGAGCAAACAGG
rnacentral:rRNA from 2 species